rnacentral:rRNA from 1 species
UACGGGGGGGGCAAGCGUUGUUCGGAAUUACUGGGCGUAAAGCGCACGUAGGCGGCUUUGCAAGUCGGGUGUGAAAUCCCCAGGCUUAACCUGGGAACUGCAUUCGAGACUGCAUUGCUAGAGUAUGGGAGAGGGAAGUGGAAUUUCCGGUGUAGCGGUGAAAUGCGUAGAUAUCGGAAGGAACAUCAGUGGCGAAAGCGACUUCCUGGACCAAUACUGACGCUCAUGUGCGAAAGCGUGGGGAGCAAACAGG